rnacentral:rRNA from 1 species
CCGCUCUGGUUGAUCCCUNNNNNNNGUNAUAUGCUUGUCAUCAAAGAUUAAGCCAUGCAUGUCUCAGUGCAAGCCGUCUAGUACGGUGAAACCGCGAAAGGCUCAUUAAAUCAGUUAUGGUUCCUUAGAUCGUACCCACGUUACUUGGAUAACUGUGGUAAUUCUAGAGCUAAUACAUGCCGACAGAGUUCCGACCAGCUGUCGGGCUUGCUCGACAGCUCGGAAGGAGCGCUUUUAUUAGAUCAAAACCGGCCUGACGACGGAUUCACUUGUGUUUCCGUCGUAUACGGCCCACGCAAAGACUUGGUGACUCUGAAUAACUUCGAGCUGAUCGCACGGUCUCGUACCGGCGACGUAUCUUUCAAAUGUCUGCCUUAUCAACUGUCGACGGUAGGUUCGACGCCUACCGUGGUGGUAACGGGUAACGGGGAAUCAGGGUUCGAUUCCGGAGAGGGAGCCUGAGAAACGGCUACCACAUCCAAGGAAGGCAGCAGGCGCGCAAAUUACCCACUCCCAGCUCGGGGAGGUAGUGACGAAAAAUAACGAUACGGGACUCUUAUGAGGCCUCGUAAUCGGAAUGAGUACACUUUAAAACCUUGGUCACACGAGGAUCAAUGAGAGGGCAAG